UACGGAGGGGGCUAGCGUUGUUCGGAAUUACUGGGCGUAAAGCGCACGUAGGCGGCUUUUUAAGUUAGGGGUGAAAUCCUGGAGCUCAACUCCAGAACUGCCUUUGAUACUGAGAAGCUUGAGUCCGGGAGAGGUGAGUGGAACUGCGAGUGUAGAGGUGAAAUUCGUAGAUAUUCGCAAGAACACCAGUGGCGAAGGCGGCUCACUGGCCCGGUACUGACGCUGAGGUGCGAAAGCGUGGGGAGCAAACAGG
rnacentral:rRNA from 1 species